GAAACUCUAUUCCGUCCAGUUAACAUUUACAUCCAAGCUUCAAAAUCAGGAAAACUCACGUCUGAACAUUUCAAAACUUGGUUCAGCGAAGUGUAUGUACCAAAUACUGGCCGUAAAAGCAUGCUACUACUCGACUCGUGGACGGGACACUGCCCGAGCCAGCUAGAGCAGUUGAUUCCACAAGACAAAGAAGUAAAAUUUUCAACCAUUCCAAAAAAGACAACGGCCUUCAUUCAGCCUUUAGAUGUGUUUGGAUUCCGGAUUUGGAAAAAUUUCGUGCGAACAUUUUCGGAUAAUGUAAUUCUCCAAAAGAAACAUGUCAAGUUGCACUCACGUAAUGAAAUAAUUAAAUUGCAAUCACUAACUCAUAAUCAGCUUUCUUCGCCCAGAUUCAAAAAUCUUUUCCAAUAUGCUUGGUUUAAAAGCGGAUAUCUAGAAACGCAUCCCGGUGAAUUUCAAAAUCCUGUAGAUUUCUGUUACUUCAGGAAAGAAAAGCAUAUACCUAAAUGUAGUAUUUGUGGGCUGGCCGCUUUUAUGCGCUGUGCAUGGUGUGGCGAGUAUUUCUGUUUUAAACAUUUCUAUGAAGAAUAUCAUUACUGUACCAAUUAUAUUGCGUAAUGUUUAGUGUAUCUGCCGUUUUGUACUAGUACAACUCUUCCAAUAUAUAAUUAAACAACAAAGCAUGUACAAAAAGCGAAUGCAAAUGUUUUAUGUAUCAGGAUUAAUCAGAAUUAAUUAAAUUAAUUCAUUUAUUCAUUCAAAAUAGAUACGAACCGUCUUGCUUUAAUAAAUAAAAGAUGCUUGAAAUUCAUAUAAAUUAUGAUUUAAAUAUUGUACAAUUAUUAUGUCGUUACAGAUUAUCUUACAAAUAUGUACUAAUGAUCAGGAAUAAAAUACGUUCGCAUUAUCAGAACAUUCGAUAAGGUUAUCGUCAAUACGUGACUCUGCGUCCUUUAAUGUUAAGAUAGAGCUUCAUGCAAUAUCUUAUUUAUCGUGUGGUUUACAAAAUAUUGUAAUAAAAUAACACUUCAAGUAA